rnacentral:rRNA from 1 species
UACGAAGGGGGCUAGCGUUGCUCGGAAUCACUGGGCGUAAAGCGCACGUAGGCGGAUCGCUAAGUCAGGGGUGAAAUCCUGGAGCUCAACUCCAGAACUGCCUUUGAUACUGGCAAUCUCGAGUCCGGGAGAGGUGAGUGGAACUGCGAGUGUAGAGGUGAAAUUCGUAGAUAUUCGCAAGAACACCAGUGGCGAAGGCGGCUCACUGGCCCGGUACUGACGCUGAGGUGGCGAAAGCGUGGGAGCAAACAGG